rnacentral:rRNA from 2 species
CUUUAUCUGAGAGUUUGAUCCUGGCUCAGGACGAACGCUGGCGGCGUGCCUAAUACAUGCAAGUCGAGCGCGUGAAACCGGCGGAUCCCUUCGGGGUGAAACCGGUGGAACGAGCGGCGGACGGGUGAGUAACACGUGGACAACUUACCUUGCAGACUGGGAUAACUCCGGGAAACCG